GUGUAAACUGUGUGCAGCUGUACUAGAUAUAUUAAUUAGUGUAAGUUAGGUUUAAUUAUAUGAAACCAUGACGUACAAAAAACCCCCCCAAAAACUUCAACCGAAGUGGAACAGACUCCCUCCCAACAAGGAAGCCACAGCUUUAGCAAACAUCGAGUGGGCAGUGUGUCACAAGCGCCUGGAGGUCAGUACAUGGACGAGGACCCAAGAGCAGAUUCAAGCACAGGAAACAGUGAUAAGGUUUUCACAAGUUCUAUUUGCUUAAACACAAGAAUAAAUACCGAAGGAGGGAUACUUGGCAGGGGGUCAAAUAUGGCAAAACUGUGAACAGAGGGCUGGAGUUCCCCGUGGAAUAUAGGAUUUAUGUGCAUGAAUGCAGGGAGCCUUAACUUUAUUGCUGUUCGGCUGAUGAUGGCCUUGAUUUCAUAGGGACCAAUGCUGCGUGGGGCCUGCUUGCGGGAGGUAUUUGCCAUAGCUUUUGCCUCGGAGUAUACCUGGGAGCCGAGGUUCUCAAUCGAUCUGCAUUGUGGCAUGGUCAAUCGAGAACCUUGAGCAGCACUUCCUGAGUCUAAGUCGAGAUGUCAUGGCAAUGUAGAUAUUGGACUCAUGGAAUGGCGAGCUCCACCUCCGGCUGCAAAAAGAGGUUCAUUAAGCAGAGCACAGUGGAUAGUUUCCUCCACGUCCCAGGAAAUUAAACCGCUCCUGUAUUGGAGGCAUAAACCUCUACUAUGAACACAGGUGAACACCUGCAUUCAUCUGUAUUAGCGAAUGCAGGUGAAUGUAGUUUUGGCCUGUUGUGUACAGGUGAAGGGUAUCUUGGUGAGGUGAGUGAGUGGUUCUGCUACCUGACUGUAAUUCCAGAUGAAGCGGCAGUAAAAAUUGAUGAAUUUGAGAAAGGUUUUUUUGAGAUGUGGGAGUAAGACAUUCCCUAACAGCUUGGACUUUUGCUGGGUCGGUCUUCACCUGCCCUCCUGCCAGGAUGUAACCAAGAAAAGUGACUGAAGAUGAAUGAAACUCACCUUUCUCUGCUUUGACGUAUAACCGGUUUCGAGAAGGUGCUUCAGCACAGAUUUGAUGUGUAGGACCACAUCUGGAGGACCAGAUGUUCCUCCAGAGUCUUGGAAAAGCUUGCCUACCACUUACGAGAGCUCAGAGGUGUUGUCAGGGAUGGAGUGUGGUGAUUGAGAAAACAUAAGAGCAUUGCAACAGGAAACCCUCACAGCAACCCUGUACCCUGGUGAAUGGCUCAGGCUGAGAAGUGCUAGAAGUGCUAAUGGCAGGUAAAGAUGGGGCAGGUCCUAUGGAAGCGGGGAAAGGAGUGGAAGUGUGCGUGGAAGUGGUCUGGCUGGGAUUGAAACUGGGCUGGAGUUCUAAUAGUGAGGCAAUGAUUUUCUCUUGAGUGUCACCAAUAGAUUUGCAUUGUAUUUCUAGGAAUUGGACUGACUGUUGAUAAUUACCUAGUAUUGAACCCUACUUUGAGAUCGCUGCCUGUAUUGGAUCUUCUGGGUCCAUUUUUCAUUAGGCCAAUUGUACUGUCACAAAGGCCUGGAGGUUAGUACAUGGAUGAGGACCCAAGAGCCGAUUCAAGCAUGGGAAACAGCGAUAAGGUUUUCAUAGGUUUUAUUUGCUUAAACACAUGAGUAAAUAGUGACACGAAGGAGGGAUACUUGGCAGGGAACCGAAUGUAGCAAAACUGAACAGAGGGAGAGCAUGGUUAGAGAAGAGGCAAGGGAAGCUUGUCUGGAGAGGUGAGUAAUACUAAAAUAGAGUCUUACUUGGCAGGUGGAACGUGUAAGGCUCUGGGGGGAUUGAAUCGCUGGGUGUGCGUCUAGAAUGGUGAGCUAGUGAGCGGGUUCCAACCUUUCUUUUCUAGAGAUCCAAGAGAGAAGGUGGCAGGAGGACAGGCAGAAGCGGUAGAAGGAUUAAUCCUGGGUGGCAGAAUGUGCAACAGAAAAUGCUCCUUUAACAAGGAGAAUGAUAAGGCCUGUUACCAACAUGAGGUUAGCUCGAAAACAGGUGGAGAAGAGAUGGGGGACCCUGGUCUUAAAUGCUAUCUCACUGA